rnacentral:lncRNA from 1 species
AACUGCUUAUCACUACACUGUUCCAUAAGGAGAGCUAACUGGAGGAGUAAAUCAGGAGGACCUAAAAUAUAAAUAGAUACAAACUAAACUUGACACAUGACUAAAACUUGAGGAAUAAAAUAUCAAUAGUUUAGAUUUACCAAUAAGGUCUUAACUGACGAUAUACAUGACAUAGUCUAAAUGUAUCUGAACUGUAGGGG